GCCAGAUUACAUCAGAUGGAAAUGGUCCCAGAGUUCGAGGCAUGGCUGCCUCUGACCUUCCUGCUGACCAUCAUCAAGUCCAUAUAAUAACACCCCAGCAAUGAAUAAACAAAUUCAAAGACAACUCAAAAGUCAAUCUGUCAGGAUCGAGGGUUUGGAGGCAAGACCGGAAUGCAGAACAUGGCGAGGAGGUCGCAUGUGGCUGAAAACAAGAAAGGCCUCAGGACCUGAUAUCUCCCCAUCAUGCCUGAGAGCCUGCCCUGAUCAACUGGCACCCAUCAUCACUGGGAUCUUCAACAAGUCACUAGAGCUGUGUGAGGUUCCCUCCUGUCGCCCUGAUGUCUGUGGUCAUGAAAUCCUUUGAGCGACUGGUGUUGAAGCACCUGAAGGACAUCACAGGCCCAUUGCUGGACCCCUGCCCUUUGUUUAGCGAGCAAACAGGUCAGCAGAUGUUGCGGUCAACUUGCGACUACACUUCAUCCUGCAACACCUCGACCACCCAAGGACAUACGCCAGGAUCCUGUUUGUGGACUUCAGCUCGGCCUUCAACACCAUUAAGCCUGACAUCUUCCAUCAGAUGCUCAUCCAGCUCAAAGUCCUGGCCUCCACCUGUCAGUGGAUCACCAGUUUCCAGAAGGACCAGCAGGUGAGGCUGGGGAGUAUCUUCUCCCGCACAAGAACCAUCAGCACCGGCACCCCCCAGAGGUGUGUUCUCUCCCCACUCCGCUUCUCACUCUACACAAACGACUGCAUAUCAGCGUACCUUUCUGUGAAACUCCUGAAGUUUGCAGAUGAUACCACUGGUAUUGGACUGAUCCAGAACAGUGAUGAGUCUGCAUACAAAUAGGAGGUGGAUUGGCUGGUAAACUGGUGUGGUCAGAACCACCUGGAACUGAACCCACUCAAGACUGUGGAGAUGAUGGUGGACUGUCGUAGUACACCACCCCUACACACCCACCUCACCAUCCUCAACAACACUGUAUCUGCUGUGGACCACGUCCGGUUCCUGGGAAAAACAAUUUCUCAAAAACUGAGAUGUCCUCAAACAUAGACAAAGUUCCCAAAAAGGCCCAGCAGAGACUGUACUUCCUGAGGCAACUCAAGACGUUUAACCUUCCACAGGAGCUGCUGGUC